rnacentral:misc_RNA from 1 species
AAGUCGUAACAAGGUUUCCGUAGGUGAACCUGCGGAAGGAUCAUUAACACGUAUCCAAACGUUAAAACCCUCGCCGUGAACCUUCAUCCUGCUCUUGUAACCCGCGUAGUUCGCAAUCUCUGAUAAAUCAUAGCCCGGAAAGUUGUAGUGAUUCAGAGACCUCUGGCUACGUGCGAUGUUUCCGCAAGCAGUCAGUGUCGGAAAGUAUCAUUGAUUGUGCAAGGAUAGCGCUUCUACAAUUCCUGUAGACCGUAUACUCGGGAAGGAGCUUUGCCAAAGGGUCCCCAUGCCCCCUAAUAACCCCACAGUUUAAUGUGAAGCUCAAUGUAAUACAUUGGGUAAAAAAACCGAACAACUGUUAACAAUGGAUAUCUUGGUUCUC